UACAGAGGUCUCAAGCGUUGUUCGGAUUCAUUUGGGCGUAAAGGGUGUGAGUAGGUGGCGCCGUAAGUCGGGUGUGAAAUUUCGGGAGCUUAAACUUCCGAAACUGCAUUCGAUAACUGCGGUGCUUGAGGACUGGGAGAGGAGUACUGGAAUUCGAUGGUGUAGCAGUGAAAUGCGUAGAGAUCAAUGAGGAAGACCAG
rnacentral:rRNA from 1 species